UACGUAGGGUGCAAGCGUUAAUCGGAAUUACUGGGCGUAAAGCGUGCGCAGGCGGUUAUGCAAGACAGAUGUGAAAUCCCCGGGCUCAACCUGGGAACUGCAUUUGUGACUGCAUAGCUAGAGUACGGUAGAGGGGGAUGGAAUUCCGCGUGUAGCAGUGAAAUGCGUAGAUAUGCGGAGGAACACCGAUGGCGAAGGCAAUCCCCUGGACCUGUACUGACGCUCAUGCACGAAAGCGUGGGGAGCAAGCAGG
rnacentral:rRNA from 1 species